CAUGCAAGUCGAGCGGUAAGGCCCUUCGGGGUACACGAGCGGCGAACGGGUGAGUAACACGUGGGUGAUCUGCCUCGCACUCUGGGAUAAGCCUGGGAAACUGGGUCUAAUACCGGAUAUGACCUUACAUCGCAUGGUGUUUGGUGGAAAGAUUUAUCGGUGCGAGAUGGGCCCGCGGCCUAUCAGCUUGUUGGUGGGGUAAUGGCCUACCAAGGCGACGACGGGUAGCCGGCCUGAGAGGGCGACCGGCCACACUGGGACUGAGACACGGCCCAGACUCCUACGGGAGGCAGCAGUGGGGAAUAUUGCACAAUGGGCGAAAGCCUGAUGCAGCGACGCCGCGUGAGGGAUGACGGCCUUCGGGUUGUAAACCUCUUUCGACAGGGACGAAGCGCAAGUGACGGUACCUGUAGAAGAAGCACCGGCCAACUACGUGCCAGCAGCCGCGGUAAUACGUAGGGUGCGAGCGUUGUCCGGAAUUACUGGGCGUAAAGAGCUUGUAGGCGGCUUGUCGCGUCGAUCGUGAAAACUUGGGGCUCAACCCCAAGCUUGCGGUCGAUACGGGCAGGCUUGAGUACUUCAGGGGAGACUGGAAUUCCUGGUGUAGCGGUGAAAUGCGCAGAUAUCAGGAGGAACACCGGUGGCGAAGGCGGGUCUCUGGGAAGUAACUGACGCUGAGAAGCGAAAGCGUGGGUAGCGAACAGGAUUAGAUACCCUGGUAGUCCACGCCGUAAACGGUGGGUACUAGGUGUGGGUUUCCUUCCACGGGAUCCGUGCCGUAGCUAACGCAUUAAGUACCCCGCCUGGGGAGUACGGCCGCAAGGCUAAAACUCAAAGGAAUUGACGGGGGCCCGCACAAGCGGCGGAGCAUGUGGAUUAAUUCGAUGCAACGCGAAGAACCUUACCUGGGUUUGACAUACACCGGAAACC
rnacentral:rRNA from 1 species